AGGGGAAUAUUGCACAAUGGGCGCAAGCCUGAUGCAGCCAUGCCGCGUGUGUGAAGAAGGCCUUCGGGUUGUAAAGCACUUUCAGCGGGGAGGAAGGCGGUGAGGUUAAUAACCUCAUCGAUUGACGUUACCCGCAGAAGAAGCACCGGCUAACUCCGUGCCAGCAGCCGCGGUAAUACGGAGGGUGCAAGCGUUAAUCGGAAUUACUGGGCGUAAAGCGCACGCAGGCGGUCUGUCAAGUCGGAUGUGAAGUCCCCGGGCUCAACCUGGGAACUGCAUUCGAAACUGGCAGGCUAGAGUCUUGUAGAGGGGGGUAGAAUUCCAGGUGUAGCGGUGAAAUGCGUAGAGAUCUGGAGGAAUACCGGUGGCGAAGGCGGCCCCCUGGACAAAGACUGACGCUCAGGUGCGAAAGCGUGGGGAGCAAACAG
rnacentral:rRNA from 1 species